UUAUGCACGCCUAAUGCGUAACAAAUUAUAUGGGUUAAAGUCCCAUAAUAUGGGUUAAUGUCCCAGAAAUUAAUUGACAUGUAUGUAUUAAUCUGUGGCAUGCCUUCAGCAUGACAGAUAUAUGGGUUCUAAAUGUUCCAACUCCCUAAAUAGAGAUUAUCCACGCCCUACUGCUAAAUAACGCUCCAAUGGAGGUUAUAAUCCACAUUCUC
rnacentral:lncRNA from 1 species